AACCCAUGGUGAGGACAUGACAUCUCAAGAUCCUUAAAACGCUCCCAACACUCAUAAAAACUUUCUUGUGGGAGUUGUCGGAAUGCAACAAGCUCAUCUCUAACAUU
rnacentral:snoRNA from 1 species